rnacentral:lncRNA from 1 species
AUGGAAACAAAGUACUUAAAAUACUUUCUUGGGUGGAUAAACACAGCCGAGGGGGAAAAAAAAAAACCAACAAAAAACCAAGGCUGCCCAGCCCCAACCUUUUCACCGUGCACACAGCUUAGGAGACGUGGAAGGAAGAGAAGAAAUCUUUCCCAAACAAACUGUGUACAGGGAAGAUCUGGGAUUCCAGAGAGGAGCCCUGGGCAGGAGGUGGAGCACAAGUGGAUGCAGGUCUCCCGUUGUACAGAUAACAAAACCGAGUCCCAGGGAGGGGCCGAGAACUUCCAAGCUGUCCUCUGUGUGUGGGAAGCCCUUCUCCAUCUUCUUGCUCAUCCACGGGAGCAUGUGGCCCGCGAAAGCCGGCCAUUUUGGCCCAUGUUCCCGUUGAGUAGAACCGAGUCAUGUGACCCCCAACCUAAUCGCAAGGGUGGCUGGGAAACACGGAAGCGCACACGGAAGUCUGCUGAGCACCAUUGCCUCCGCCAUCCUCCCCUAUUAGAAGGUAAGCUCCCUGAGGGAAGGGACUUGGUCAUCCUUGUCACCACUGUCUCCCAGCAGCUGCCACGUGUUGAACACCUGCGAGGCUUGGAUGCAUGA